GGGGCCAUGGGGCAGGUCCUGCCGGUCUUCGCCCACUGCAGUGUAUCACCAUACUGGAAAAAGUUAGGUCCUUUGGGCCUUUAUAUGGGUGCGUGAGAAGAUGGCCUCCUGCCCGGAUGAUCCUCAGUGGUCUGGGGUGCAGGCUUCAAACCUGUAGCUGUCUGGCGACAGAGUGGUUCAAUUCCACCUUCCGGGCGAUAGAUACUUGCUUUUUUUCCCCGAACCUGCCGACCACCUUGGAGGGUGUCAGCUCUGCCAAGAUGCACUCCCACACCCGCGCCUGGAGAGGUUCCUGAGCCUUCCACAUUCCCAUUGACACUCUUGCCAGGUGGGCCUUGGCCUGUGGUUGCUUUCUUCUCAGCAAGAGCUAAGAUGACUGGAAAAGACAAAGAACGUUUCUUCUACACAACUGCAGGGUAUUCAGGUGGGUUUCUCCCCUUCACUGGCUUUUCAGUCAGUGGAGGUGCGGCAAAGGGUGUGGGGCGCUUUGGAGAUUGAAUCCAAGGCCUGGGCAGCGAGCUAGAUCUCCAGCCUUUUUAAACUUUUGAGGCCGGUUGUCACUAUGUCACCAGAUUGCCUGGACUGGGCUGGAACUUGAGAUCCACUUGUCUCAGCCUCCCAGAGUGCUGGACUCAAAAGCAGUCAUUGGAUGCUGGGCCCUAAAUGCCUCGCGAAUCCCUCUCCUUCCUGUCCUGUGCCCCUUGGUCUUGUUCUGGGCCUGUUCUCUAGCCUUGCUGUAGUCCCAGUCACAUUCAGCCUGAUGGUUAGAGGAGCCAUCCCAAGAUGAAAUAUCUGCCUAACCCACCUGUGCUCAGAAUCUGGAUGGCUCCCUAGGACCCUCAAGAGAAAGUCUAAAUUGUUCCACCUGGAAAUUAAUGGCCUGCAGAAACUGGUCCCUGCUAACCUCUCUCCCCACACCUUUGCGCCAUAACCAUGGACCUUGGCCGCCUUCCACUCGUCAAGCCCUAUCUCCUCUAGCAGGUGUUUGGCCUCGCAAUGUUCUGGCCCCAGCCAUCUAGUCCUGUCCAUAUUUCGCUGGUCUUACCUAGGACCCAAGGCAGCUGUGACCUCAUCCAGGAAGACCUGCUUGACGCUCAGUCAAGGUUAGAUGCACCUUGUGUGCCCCCACUGUUCCAUUCGGACCUCAGACCUGCCACCUUUGUGUUGUCUCUCACUGGGGACGGAUCUGUAUUCAUUGUUUUCUUAUGAGCCAUAGG
rnacentral:tRNA from 1 species